AGCCUUACGCUUCGGAGGCUCCAUGGCGAGGACUUUACAAUUCUUUCUAUAACAAAUUCGUGCACAAAGUCCGUAUCCUUUUUGUUAAACGAAUAUAUUUUCAUAUUUAUCACAUGAAAUAUUUACCAGAAUCCUUCUUGAUUUUUUGAAACUUUAAACUUUUCAAUGUACUUCUCACAAUCACAGUCACAGCAAUGAUUGCGAAUGGCUUUCCAUUGUCGCCCUGCAUGAAAUUCACAACAGGAAUAUCAAGGCUACCCUGAUGCAAUAAAUUCUACUUAAUUUAAGGAGUAUGCAUUUGUAUGAAAGUGUCUUACCCGGCUGUGACCAGGCCAAGUUUUCAAAUUUCAGACAUAGCUUGUCUAUCCAUUACCAUUAUCCUCUAUGCUCCACCCAGGUACAAUGAGUUUGUAAUAUCGCGCAUUUCCCAUGGUUUAUCAAGAGCCUGACUUAAAUAUGUGGAGCUUGGAGAAGAUUUGUACUUUCAGUUGGAAAACAACAGCAAGUAUUUCCCGGCAUUGCUCGGGUCAAAGUUUUUUUGCUUCCCUAAAACAAAUUUUGUGAGGCUGCAAUUAAAAUAGGGACUUUUACGAUAAUUCAUCAAAUAAAUAUCUAUAUAUUCAUGAUCUUGAUCAACUGCCAAUCUCAAACAAGAUGAUUGAAAUAUGUCUCAUUUAAAUACUGGCUGUUUACGGAAAGAGAAUGUAGCUUAUUUGUUUUAUUUAGUGGUCUAAAUACAUUAGUUCCAUGAAGCGAACAAAUUAGUUCCAGUUAAAUGUUGGGAAAUAUAAGUGGCAGAAAUAUGCGAUCCAUUGUAAGUAUCUAAUUUAUCGUCGAAUAUCAUGAGACUUGUUAAACUAAUUUUUAUUUUCCUUUCCAUUUACAUUGUUGGCAUUGUCCAGGCUGUUGAUCGAUGUCUUCAGGAACCAGAAGUAGCAGGGGAUUGCUAUGCCUACCAUAUUAGGUAUUCCUACUAUCCAAAAAAAAAGAA